rnacentral:rRNA from 1 species
CCUACGGGGGGCUGCAGUGGGGAAUAUUGCACAAUGGGCGCAAGCCUGAUGCAGCCAUGCCGCGUGUGUGAAGAAGGCCUUCGGGUUGUAAAGCACUUUCAGCGGGGAGGAAGGCGGUGAGGUUAAUAACCUCAUCGAUUGACGUUACCCGCAGAAGAAGCCCCGGCUAACUCCGUGCCAGCAGCCGCGGUAACACGGAGGGUGCAAGCGUUAAUCGGAAUUACUGGGCGUAAAGCGCACGCAGGCGGUCUGUCAAGUCGGAUGUGAAAUCCCCGGGCUCAACCUGGGAACUGCAUUCGAAACUGGCAGGCUAGAGUCUUGUAGAGGGGGGUAGAAUUCCAGGUGUAGCGGUGAAAUGCGUAGAGAUCUGGAGGAAUACCGGUGGCGAAGGCGGCCCCCUGGACAAAGACUGACGCUCAGGUGCGAAAGCGUGGGGAGCAAACAGGAUUAGAUACCCUAGUAGUC